AUACGUAGGGGGCGAGCGUUGUCCGGAAUGAUUGGGCGUAAAGGGCGCGUAGGCGGCCCGGUAAGUCUGGAGUGAAAGCCCUGUUUUUAAGAUGGGAAUUGCUUUGGAUACUGUCGGGCUUGGGUGCAGGAGAGGUAAGUGGAAUUCCCAGUGUAGCGGUGAAAUGCGUAGAGAUUGGGAGGAACACCAGUGGCGAAGGCGACUUACUGGACUGUAACUGACGCUGAGGCGCGAAAGUGUGGGGAGCAAACAGGAUUAGAUACCCUGGUAGUCCACACUGUAAACGAUGAAUGCUAGGUGUAGGGGGUAUCGACCCCUUCUGUGCCGCAGUCAACACAAUAAGCAUUCCGCCUGGGGAGUACGGCCGCAAGGUUGAAACUCAAAUGAAUUGACGGGG
rnacentral:rRNA from 1 species